rnacentral:tRNA from 1 species
GCCUCUAUAGCUCAGUGGCAGAGCGGCUGCCUUGUAAGCAGUAGGUCGGGGGUUCAAAUCCCUCUAGAGGCU